rnacentral:lncRNA from 1 species
AAAAAAAAAAAGAAAUAGAAAAAGUCGGGAACCUGGCAAGCUGCCUAACUGCUCUGUGCGUCGGUGUCCUCACCUGUGAUGCGGGGACAAAGCUGAAGAAGCCAGCAACCUGAAAACACCAAUGGGCACAGACAGAAGAACCUGCUCGCUCCAGCCAGAGACGUAUGAGGACUUGUAGGUCUGAAGAUUUGAGUGGAUAAAAUUCCAUCAUAAAAAUAAGGUAAGCUGCUUCCAGUAGGUGGGAAUGUUAAUGAAACUGGACCUACUUGGCACUGGAGUAAGAACAUCUACGGUCAUACCUGCUUCUCAUGCAGACCACAGGGUCAAGUCAGUUAUCUUCCAGAUUCAUGCUCCAGACAACCCAGAGUCACAUUAAUACACAAUAAUAAUUCUACUGUGUACACUUGUACAGUAAUGUAGUUCUUAUAGUUUUUUUAUCAAUAAUUAUUUUAAAUUUAAUUUACUUCAUUAUAUUAUUUACAUUUUAUAGAUGAAAAAGGGAGCUUCAGGAAAGCUGUCUUCUCUAAGUCACAUAAAGCUGGACUCAAACUUUUUGCCUCUACAAUUUUUUUUCACAAUACUGGGAUGACACCAAAAGGACUUAGGGAAAAGAAAAGGGCACCCACCCACCACAGAUAGCCAUGAGCUUUACAGUGCCCAUCUCAUGCCUUCAAAAGAAUCACUUAUUUCAUCAGGCACUGAAAUUUUUUGACUUGUGUAUAAUAAAAAAAAUCUAUUUAAUUGA